CAUCAAGUGAUAGCUUGACACUACGGCCUUUAAAGUUCACAAACUUAGACGAUCCAAGAUUGCAUUGUAGGCCGAAGAAAGUUUAACCAUCAAAAAAUUAAUUUGAAUCAUUGAUAAAUAUUUAAAUUAAAUUAUUAGAAAUAUUUAAAUUUAUUUAAUUUUUUUUUAUUUAUUUUAUAGAAGAUUAAAAGAUUAAUGCGGAUACGAUGUAUGUGUAACGGUUCGUUAAAGGACAUAUGAGAAAUUAUAUCAAAUGAACCAAGGCUUUUGCUGGAAGGAGGAGGAUGUAAGAGCAUUAAAUGCUCAUGGCCCAUAGCAUUUAAUCCAUUCAAAGGAGAAGUGGCGUGCUAAACUAUUGGGUGCUAUCCAAUGGCUCAUGUUGUGAGGAACACUUGAUCAGACAGCCACAAUCCCUCUUUUCCAUAUACUUUAGUGGUGGCCCCCUGCUUGAAUACCAUCCAAUGGUCUAAAGUGUUCUUGACCAUGAUCCGGUUGCAGAACCAAACAAAUACGGCAUUCACGCAGCUGCUGGCAACG
rnacentral:lncRNA from 1 species